GACGUAGGGCGCGAGCGUUGUCCGGAUUUAUUGGGCGUAAAGAGCUCGUAGGCGGCUUGUCGCGUCGACCGUGAAAACUUGGGGCUCAACCCCAAGCCUGCGGUCGAUACGGGCAGGCUAGAGUUCGGUAGGGGAGACUGGAAUUCCUGGUGUAGCGGUGAAAUGCGUAGAUAUCUGGAGGAACACCGGUGGCGAAGGCGGCAUCCUGGACCAACACUGACGCUGAGUGAGCGAAAGCCAGGGGAGCAAACGGG
rnacentral:rRNA from 1 species